rnacentral:rRNA from 1 species
UGGGGAAUUUUGGACAAUGGGCGCAAGCCUGAUCCAGCCAUGCCGCGUGCAGGAAGAAGGCCUUCGGGUUGUAAACUGCUUUUGUCAGGGAAGAAAUCCUUUGGGCUAAUACCCCGGAGGGAUGACGGUACCUGAAGAAUAAGCACCGGCUAACUACGUGCCAGCAGCCGCGGUAAUACGUAGGGUGCGAGCGUUAAAUCGGAAUUACUGGGCGUAAAGCGUGCGCAGGCGGCUUUGCAAGACAGAUGUGAAAUCCCCGGGCUCAACCUGGGAACUGCAUUUGUGACUGCAAGGCUAGAGUGCGGCAGAGGGAGAUGGAAUUCCGCGUGUAGCAGUGAAAUGCGUAGAUAUGCGGAGGAACACCGUGGCGAAGGCAAUCUCCCGGGCCUGCACUGACGCUCAUGCACGAAAGCGUGGGGAGCAAACAGGAUUAGAUACCCUGGUAGUCCACGCCCUAAACGAUGUCAACUGGUUGUUGGACGGCUUGCUGUUCAGUAACGAAGCUAACGCGUGAAGUUGACCGCCUGGGGAGUA